rnacentral:rRNA from 1 species
UCUCCUGGAAACGGGUGGUAAUGCCGGAUGCUCCGACUCCUCGCAUGGGGUGUCGGGAAAGAUUUCAUCGGUAUGGGAUGGGGUCGCGUCCUAUCAGGUAGUCGGCGGGGUAACGGCCCACCGAGCCUACGACGGGUAGCCGGCCUGAGAGGGCGACCGGCCACAUUGGGACUGAGAUACGGCCCAGACUCCUACGGGAGGCAGCAGUGGGGAAUAUUGCACAAUGGGCGCAAGCCUGAUGCAGCGACGCCGCGUGCGGGAUGACGGCCUUCGGGUUGUAAACCGCUUUUGAUCGGGAGCAAGCCUUCGGGUGAGUGUACCUUUCGAAUAAGCACCGGCUAACUACGUGCCAGCAGCCGCGGUAAUACGUAGGGUGCAAGCGUUAUCCGGAAUUAUUGGGCGUAAAGGGCUCGUAGGCGGUUCGUCGCGUCCGGUGUGAAAGUCCAUCGCUUAACGGUGGAUCUGCGCCGGGUACGGGCGGGCUGGAGUGCGGUAGGGGAGACUGGAAUUCCCGGUGUAACGGUGGAAUGUGUAGAUAUCGGAAAAGAACACCA